GACAGAGGGGGCAAGCGUUGCUCGGAAUUACUGGGCGUAAAGCGUGCGCAGGCGGCUUUGCAAGACAGAUGUGAAAUCCCCGGGCUUAACCUGGGAACUGCAUUUGUGACUGCAAGGCUGGAGUGCGGCAGAGGGGGAUGGAAUUCCGCGUGUAGCAGUGAAAUGCGUAGAUAUGCGGAGGAACACCGAUGGCGAAGGCAAUCCCCUGGGCCUGCACUGACGCUCAUGCACGAAAGCGUGGGGAGCAAACAGG
rnacentral:rRNA from 1 species